rnacentral:rRNA from 1 species
AAUCAACGCUGGCGGCGUGCCUCAGACAUGCAAGUCGAACGAUUAAAGCUCUCUUCGGAGAGUGUAUAGAGUGGCGCACGGGUGAGUAACACGUAAGUAAUCUACCUUUGAGUGGGGAAUAACAUCGGGAAACCGAUGCUAAUACCGCAUAAUGCAGCGGCAUCGCAAGAUGACAGUUGUUAAAGAUUUAUCGCUUGAAGAGGAGCUUGCGGCAGAUUAGCUAGUUGGUAAGGUAAUGGCUUACCAAGGCUACGAUCUGUAACCGGUCUAAGAGGACGGUCGGUCACACUGACACUGAAUAACGGGUCAGACUCCUACGGGAGCAGCAGUCG